CGGACCGGCGCGGAGGAGGAGGGAGCUGGCAGGAGCUGCAGGAGAGGUAAGUAACAGCUCUGCCAGCCCCCAGUCUGUAUUAUGGCAAUGUAAAUUGCCAUAAUACAGACAGUGACUCGAGUAUAAGCCGAGUUGGGGUUUUUCAGCACAAAAAAUGUGCUGAAAAACUCGGCUUAUACUCGAGUAUAUACGGUAAAUCAAAUCUUACUGACUUGUGACUUAAAUCAAAUAUAAAAUCAAAACAAAGUCAAACAAUUUCAAAUCCGAUAAAGUAGCAUUAUCUGCUUUUUGUGUUUUGAAAUUAGUUGGUUUGUUUUGAUUUUAUUGUUUUAUAAUUUUAUGCUUUUAACAUAAUUGGGUGUCUGAGGAAGUCCAACAGUUGAACGAAUCGCGGAGGACCAACCAUUUUAUGUUUAUAUAAAUAAAUAGGAAUUUAUUUUGGAAACUUGAGUCCUGCUUGCCAAUAUUGUCAUGGAGAUUCCAGCCGGGAGCUAAGGGGACAUGAAAAAUCCCUUCAAGUAUCUAAAUGGAGGCACCCAGAGGCGAAAUACGCACCGUGCAUUCUGAGUGAAUUUUCCUGAGCGCAGUGUCACUUCCGUAUCCACUAUAUUAUGCUAUGGGCAUGUCUUAUUUUUUUUGUAGACUUACAGCUGCAUCCUCUAAAUACUGUUUUGUUUGAUUUAAACCAGGUCUACCUUGCUGCUGCCCUUUAAUGCACAGUGCACAAAGGGAAAAAUCUAUAUGGGAGUUUUGUUAUAAAAUGAAAUUAUUAUUGAAAAGACCAAAAAGCAUGUGCCAUCUUAACAUUGGUUUGUUCCAUUUUAUCAGAAGAGAUUGUUACAUUCCAGUACAUGUUUCCAAGGCAAAGUUAACACUUCCUAAUACAACUGCUGGUGCAUUGGAUGGUAUUCUUUCGCAGGGCCGGGUUACCAACCCUAAAACCUGGUCAUAACAAGGCAGACACAUUCCACUGCAUGACAUUGUAAAGACAGAACCAACCCAAUUAAUUACCUAUCCAGAGCAGAGAGCCUCAGCCAGAAACCCUUACUGAUCUUUAAUGAGCAGGGAUCAAAUCAAUGUAUGUUUUAUGAUAAUAAUAAUCAGUAUUCAGGUGGCAACUCAUUAGAAAGUCAUUGCAGUGGAAAAUCCAUAAGCAUUAUUAUAAAUACAAAAAUAUGAGGCUGAUUUUGUUUCUACUUUUGUUAAUAAACAUUUAUGAAAAGGCUUUCUUAUUGUGUGUUUGUAACAGGAAAAAAAAAAGAUUGGUGUACACAAAAAAUAAAUAACACCAAUAAUGUUAAAAACAAAACAAAUGUCAGAUGUUUUUGAUUAAAUACAUUGCCUGCACUAACGUAUAAUUUCACUUUUUUUGUUUGGCACACCUCACACACUGUUACUUUUUCCUGGAGGUAAUCAAUUUAUACAACAGUUCAGAAAAUAGUGGUUGUAACUUAAGUGCUCUGGAGAAAGAUUUUAUACACUGUGCAUGUGUUUACUCGAGAUCACAGUACACAGCUUUAUGAAAUACAGUUCCCACAAAAAGCUUCCCCUCGUAGACGGCGGCCACGGAAGACGCCUGUAUCACUGAGCCGUUGUUCACAUAUACUUGGGUCACUAUAGGAUUGUCAGAAUGAAUGUUCUGCACACGGACAACCUACAAUGGGAAAACAUUUAAACAUUAGUUAGACACCAAGUUCACCUAUUGUAAUGGAAUAUCUGAGAAAGGUGUUUUAUCCAGCUUUUGAAGAUC